rnacentral:rRNA from 1 species
GAUGAACGCUGGCGGCGUGCUUAACACAUGCAAGUUGAACGGAAAGGCCCAAGCUUGCUUGGGUACUCGAGUGGCGAACGGGUGAGUAACACGUGGGUGAUCUGCCCUGCACUUCGGGAUAAGCCUGGGAAACUGGGUCUAAUACCGGAUAGGACCACUUCUUGGAUGUUGUGGUGGAAAGUUUUUUCGGUGUGGGAUGAGCUCGCGGCCUAUCAGCUUGUUGGUGGGGUAAUGGCCUACCAAGGCGUCGACGGGUAGCCGGCCUGAGAGGGUGUACGGCCACAUUGGGACUGAGAUACGGCCCAGACUCCUACGGGAGGCAGCAGUGGGGAAUAUUGCACAAUGGGCGCAAGCCUGAUGCAGCGACGCCGCGUGGGGGAUGACGGCCUUCGGGUUGUAAACUCCUUUCGCUAGGGACGAAGCGUUUUUGUGACGGUACCUGGAGAAGAAGCACCGGCUAACUACGUG